GAUGAACGCUGGCGGCGUGCCUAAUACAUGCAAGUAGAACGCUGAAGGAAGGAGCUUGCUCUUUCCGGAUGAGUUGCGAACGGGUGAGUAACGCGUAGGUAACCUGCCUGGUAGCGGGGGAUAACUAUUGGAAACGAUAGCUAAUACCGCAUAACAGUAGAUGUUGCAUGAUAUCUACUUAAAAGGUGCAAUUGCACCACUACCAGAUGGACCUGCGUUGUAUUAGCUAGUUGGUGAGGUAACGGCUCACCAAGGCGACGAUACAUAGCCGACCCGAGAGGGUGCUCGGCCCCACUGGGACUUGGACCCGGCCCAGACUCCUACGGGAGGCAGCAGUAGGGGAUCUUCGGCAAUAGACGGAAGUCUGACCGAGCAACGCCGCGUGAGUGAAGAAGGUUUUCGGAUCGUAAAGCUCUGUUGUAAGAGAAGAACGAGUGUGAGAGUGGAAAGUUCACACUGUGACGGUAUCUUACCAGAAAGGGACGGCUAACUACGUG
rnacentral:rRNA from 1 species